rnacentral:rRNA from 1 species
UAGGGAAUCUUCCACAAUGGGCGAAAGCCUGAUGGAGCAACGCCGCGUGUGUGAUGAAGGGUUUCGGCUCGUAAAACACUGUUGUAAGAGAAGAAUGACAUUGAGAGUAACUGUUCAAUGUGUGACGGUAUCUUACCGGAAAGGAACGGCUAAAUACGUGCCAC